UGCGCAGUGGGUGUCAGGAAGAGACCGCUGGGAUUCAUGAAAACAAUACCAUAAAUAAGUGUCACAGUUAUAUUUCUGUUCACUGUAAUCCGAGUCCACCUGUUAUCACCUCGACACCUGACCAGUCCGUUCAGGAAACACCGUGUAGUUGUUUAUCAAUUCAGAAAAACAGAGGAAGAUUAUUUAUAUUUCUGUAAACGUCCGUUGGAAUUCUGAGAUAAUAAAACAACUCCCUUCAGAAAAGUCGAGAGGCAGGAAGUAGAGUCCUCACACGCGAUUACUGCACCGGCCCUGUGAGUUAUGGCGCUCGAUAAACUCAAGAAAGAAGAAACCCUCGCACUGAGGAAGAGACUGAUCGGACAGUCGUGCAGACUCUUCUACUCUGACGACCCAGUGAAAAUAGUCCGAGCAAGAGGACAGUAUCUGUUCGAUGAAAAUGACAAGCGCUACCUGGACUGCAUCAGUAACGUGCAUCAUGUGGGCCACUGUCACCCCAGCGUUACAAAGGCUGCAGCUGCACAGAUGGAGCUCCUGAACACAAACGCGAGAUUCCUGCACGACAACAUAGUCCUGUAUGCAGACCGCCUGGCGGCCACUCUGCCUGAGAAACUGUGCGUCUUCUACUUUGUGAACUCUGGUUCAGAGGCCAACGAUCUCGCCCUUCGCCUGGCACAGCAGUACACCCAACACGAGGACGUCAUCGUGCUUGACCAUGCAUACCAUGGGCAUCUAAUGUCCCUCAUCGACAUUAGCCCUUACAAGUUCCGGAAACUGGCGGGACAGAAAGAAUGGGUUCAUGUGGCACCGUUACCCGACACCUACAGAGGCAAAUACAGGGAGAAUCACCCCAACCCAGGCCAAGCUUAUGCCGAUACAGUGAAAGACCUAAUUGAGGAUGUGCACAGGAAAGGCCGUAAGAUCUCUGCCUUCUUUGCUGAAUCACUGCCAAGUGUUGGAGGACAAAUCAUCUUUCCCCAGGGAUACUCAGCUAAAGUUGCAGAAUACGUGCACUCAGCCGGUGGAGUGUUCGUGGCAGACGAAGUCCAGACAGGUUUUGGACGUGUGGGGAGUCACUUCUGGGCUUUCCAGCUGCAGGGACAGGGCUUCUGUCCUGACAUUGUGACGAUGGGGAAACCGAUGGGCAAUGGGCAUCCUUUGGCUUGUGUGGCAACCACUGUAGAGAUAGCUGGAGCUUUCACAGCCAACGGAGUGGAGUACUUCAACACGUUUGGAGGGAACCCGGUGUCGUGUGCAAUUGGCCUGGCAGUCCUUGAUGUGAUAGAGGAGGAGGACCUUAGGGGAAACGCCAUGAAAGUGGGAUCCUACCUUAAAGAGUUGCUCACAAAGCUGCAAACCCGACAUCAAAUAAUUGGCGAUGUCAGAGGUGUGGGACUUUUUGUGGGACUGGAGCUGGUCACAGACAGAGAGCAGAAGACUCCUGCUACACAAACAGCGGCGCGGGUUGUUAAGAGGUUAAAAGAAGAGGAUCGGAUCUGUGUUAGUACAGACGGCCCCUGGGAGAGUGUGGUUAAGUUCAAACCCCCUAUGUGCUUCUGUAUGGAGGAUGCAGAGCUGGUGGUGCAAUGCAUUGACCGCAUCCUCACAGGUUACUUACACAAACACCACCUUAACCAUACACCUGUCACCAGUUUGUAAUGUACAUUUAAUCUACGGAACACAUUAGCAGUCAAAGAUGUGAAUUUCACAUGUUCAUAAGGUGCAGAAUAACUCAUGAAAUGUGCUUGUUCUCACAGACAUCGAGGCCAACGACCUUAAACUGGAAAAGGAAGACAUCUAAGGUCUUCAGUGCCAAUUUAUGGUUUGGACAUUGGUAGAAUGACAGGUUACCUCUCGAAAUCCAGCCAAUUGGAGGCAGUCAUCUUUAAAAUGAUGCUAGAUGUGACCGUCACCUGGGAGAUUUCAUAUAUGACUCUAUCUUGACACUAAUGAACUUUCAUAAUAUUUUUUAAAAGAAAAAUCAGGAAAUCAAUAAACAGCUUUCUUUAA